AGAGUUUGAUCCUGGCUCAGGAUGAACGCUGGCGGCGUGCUUAACACAUGCAAGUCGAACGAUGAAGCCUAGCUUGCUGGGUGGAUUAGUGGCGAACGGGUGAGUAACACGUGAGCAACCUGCCCCUGACUCUGGGAUAAGCGCUGGAAACGGCGUCUAAUACUGGAUACGAACAAGAAUCGCAUGGUUACUUGUUGGAAAGAUUUUUCGGUUGGGGAUGGGCUCGCGGCCUAUCAGCUUGUUGGUGAGGUAAUGGCUCACCAAGGCGUCGACGGGUAGCCGGCCUGAGAGGGUGACCGGCCACACUGGGACUGAGACACGGCCCAGACUCCUACGGGAGGCAGCAGUGGGGAAUAUUGCACAAUGGGCGCAAGCCUGAUGCAGCAACGCCGCGUGAGGGAUGACGGCCUUCGGGUUGUAAACCUCUUUUAGCAGGGAAGAAGCGAGAGUGACGGUACCUGCAGAAAAAGCACCGGCUAACUACGUGCCAGCAGCCGCGGUAAUACGUAGGGUGCAAGCGUUAUCCGGAAUUAUUGGGCGUAAAGAGCUCGUAGGCGGUUUGUCGCGUCUGCUGUGAAAUCUGGGGGCUCAACCCCCAGCCUGCAGUGGGUACGGGCAGACUAGAGUGCGGUAGGGGAGAUUGGAAUUCCUGGUGUAGCGGUGGAAUGCGCAGAUAUCAGGAGGAACACCGAUGGCGAAGGCAGAUCUCUGGGCCGUAACUGACGCUGAGGAGCGAAAGGGUGGGGAGCAAACAGGCUUAGAUACCCUGGUAGUCCACCCCGUAAACGUUGGGAACUAGUUGUGGGGUCCAUUCCACGGAUUCCGUGACGCAGCUAACGCAUUAAGUUCCCCGCCUGGGGAGUACGGCCGCAAGGCUAAAACUCAAAGGAAUUGACGGGGACCCGCACAAGCGGCGGAGCAUGCGGAUUAAUUCGAUGCAACGCGAAGAACCUUACCAAGGCUUGACAUAUACGAGAACGGGCCAGAAAUGGUCAACUCUUUGGACACUCGUAAACAGGUGGUGCAUGGUUGUCGUCAGCUCGUGUCGUGAGAUGUUGGGUUAAGUCCCGCAACGAGCGCAACCCUCGUUCUAUGUUGCCAGCACGUAAUGGUGGGAACUCAUGGGAUACUGCCGGGGUCAACUCGGAGGAAGGUGGGGAUGACGUCAAAUCAUCAUGCCCCUUAUGUCUUGGGCUUCACGCAUGCUACAAUGGCCGGUACAAUGGGCUGCAAUACCGUGAGGUGGAGCGAAUCCCAAAAAGCCGGUCCCAGUUCGGAUUGAGGUCUGCAACUCGACCUCAUGAAGUCGGAGUCGCUAGUAAUCGCAGAUCAGCAACGCUGCGGUGAAUACGUUCCCGGGUCUUGUACACACCGCCCGUCAAGUCAUGAAAGUCGGUAACACCUGAAGCCGGUGGCCUAACCCCUUGUGGGAGGGAGCUGUCGAAGGUGGGAUCGGUAAUUAGGACUAAGUCGUAACAAGGUAACC
rnacentral:rRNA from 1 species